rnacentral:rRNA from 1 species
UAGGGAAUCUUCCGCAAUGGACGCAAGUCUGACGGAGCAACGCCGCGUGAGUGAAGAAGGAUUUCGGUUCGUAAAACUCUGUUGUUAGAGAAGAACAGCGCAUAGAGUAACUGUUAUGCGUGUGACGGUAUCUAACCAGAAAGCCACGGCUAACUACGUGCCAGCAGCCGCGGUAAUACGUAGGUGGCAAGCGUUGUCCGGAUUUAUUGGGCGUAAAGCGAGCGCAGGCGGUUAGAUAAGUCUGAAGUUAAAGGCAGUGGCUCAACCAUUGUAGGCUUUGGAGACUGUUUAACUUGAGUGCAGAAGGGGAGAGUGGAAUUCCAUGUGUAGCGGUGAAAUGCGUAGAUAUUAAAAAGAAUACCGGUGGCGAAGGCGACUUACUGGGCUCAUUCUGACGCUGAGGAACGAAAGCGUGGGUAGCAAACAGG